rnacentral:rRNA from 1 species
CCUACGGGCGGCUGCAGUAAGGAAUAUUGGUCAAUGGACGAAAGUCUGAACCAGCCAUGCCGCGUGAAGGAUGAAGGCCCUCUGGGUUGUAAACUUCUUUUAUCUGGGACGAAAAAAGCUCUUUCUAGAGCACUUGACGGUACCAGAGGAAUAAGCACCGGCUAACUCCGUGCCAGCAGCCGCGGUAAUACGGAGGGUGCAAGCGUUAUCCGGAUUUACUGGGUUUAAAGGGUGCGUAGGUGGGUAGGUAAGUCAGUGGUGAAAUCUCCGAGCUUAACUCGGAAACUGCCAUUGAUACUCUCUAUCUUGAAUAUCCUGGAGGUGAGCGGAAUAUGUCAUGUAGCGGUGAAAUGCUUAGAUAUGACAUAGAACACCAAUUGCGAAGGCAGCUCACUACGGGAUUAUUGACACUGAGGCACGAAAGCGUGGGGAUCAAACAGGAUUAGAUACCCCAGUAGUC